rnacentral:piRNA from 1 species
UGGAUCGCCUACGGACAGACCUUGCUC